UCCGAUUUGUCACCGGCGGUCUCCCUAGAGUGCCCAACUGAAUGAUGGCAACUAGGGACAAGGGUUGCGCUCGUUGCGGGACUUAACCCAACAUCUCACGACACGAGCUGACGACAGCCAUGCAGCACCUGUCUCUCGGUUCCCGAAGGCACCAAGUCAUCUCUGGAAAGUUCCGUGGAUGUCAAGACCAGGUAAGGUGGGGAUGACGUGUGAGAGUACGUCC
rnacentral:misc_RNA from 1 species